rnacentral:lncRNA from 1 species
GGGAAAGAGAUUUUUGAGAAUUUUAGAUGUGGGAUUAAAAAUUGAGUGUUUGUUUUCCUUUGAAAUUUCCUUUUCUGUUCAUCACGUGUCCCAGGGAGCCACGUCUCAUCCACGUCUACCUUUCUUUCUUUCUCUGCAUUCACGUUCGUGCCCAUUGAAGCCCCAACGCACGUCCAUAGCAGCCACGCGCGUCUAACACCUCACGUGAAGAAGCCUCCACCUGGUUCCCAACUCCCCUCAGCACCUGUACACAAAAAUUCAAUUGAGCCGCAUGAAAAAUUUUUAAGAUGUUGCUGUAGCUUCUCAAGCGGCUCACCAGGCUUCUCAUGGAUCAAGUGGUCC